rnacentral:rRNA from 1 species
UACGAAGGGGGCUAGCGUUGUUCGGAAUUACUGGGCGUAAAGCGCACGUAGGCGGAUCAUUAAGUCAGGGGUGAAAUCCCGGGGCUCAACCUCGGAAUUGCCUUUGAUACUGAUGAUCUCGAGUCCGAGAGAGGUGAGUGGAACUCCGAGUGUAGAGGUGAAAUUCGUAGAUAUUCGGAAGAACACCAGUGGCGAAGGCGGCUCACUGGCUCGGUACUGACGCUGAGGUGCGAAAGCGUGGGGAGCAAACAGG